UCGAGAAUCUUUCGCAAUGGGCGCAAGCCUGACGAAGCGACGCCGUGUGAGCGAAGAAGGCCUUCGGGUUGUAAAGCUCUUUCGCUAGGGAACAAGAGAGGCAUGGUAAUAUAAUGCCGAUUUGAUGGUACUUGGUAAAGAAGCACCGGCUAACUCCGUGCCAGCAGCUGCGGUAAUACGGAGGGUGCAAGCAUUGAUCGGAAUUACUGGGCGUAAAGGGCGCGUAGGCGGUUUUGAAAGUCAGAUGUGAAAUUCCGGGGCUCAACCCCGGAGCUGCAUUUGAAACUUCAGAACUAGAGGUCAGUUAGGGAAAACGGAAUUCCACGUGUAGCGGUGAAAUGCGUAGAUAUGUGGAAGAACACCAGUGGUGAAGACGGUUUUCUGGGCUGAUACUGACGCUGAGGCGCGAAAGCAAGGGGAGCAAACAGG
rnacentral:rRNA from 1 species